GUUGGUGACCAGCGGAGGGAUCAUUACCGAGUUAUACAACUCCCAAACCCACUGUGAACCUUACCUCAGUUGCCUCGGCGGGAACGCCCCGGCCGCCUGCCCCCGCGCCGGCGCCGGACCCAGGCGCCCGCCGCAGGGACCCCAAACUCUCUUGCAUUACGCCCAGCGGGCGGAAUUUCUUCUCUGAGUUGCACAAGCAAAAACAAAUGAAUCAAAACUUUCAACAACGGAUCUCUUGGUUCUGGCAUCGAUGAAGAACGCAGCGAAAUGCGAUAAGUAAUGUGAAUUGCAGAAUUCAGUGAAUCAUCGAAUCUUUGAACGCACAUUGCGCCCGCCAGCAUUCUGGCGGGCAUGCCUGUUCGAGCGUCAUUUCAACCCUCGAGCCCCCCCGGGGGCCUCGGUGUUGGGGGACGGCACACCAGCCGCCCCCGAAAUGCAGUGGCGACCCCGCCGCAGCCUCCCCUGCGUAGUAGCACACACCUCGCACCGGAGCGCGGAGGCGGUCACGCCGUAAAACGCCCAACUUUCUUAGAGUUGACCUCGGAUCAGGUAGGAAUACCCGCUGAACUUAAGCAUAUCAAUAAGCGGAGGA
rnacentral:rRNA from 1 species